ACAUGUACGUUUGUACUAAGUGAACAAAAACUUCGAAUGGGACACGUUCUCCGGAGGAGAGGCUCUGGGGCAGAUGUGACUUGCUGCCAGAUGCAAGGGGCCAGGCCACUGCUCCGUGGUGACAGCAUCACUGCUUUCCAGCGCACUCCAAUCUGAGUCUCCAGUUUCCUUCGUGAGAGGUAACUCUCUGCAGCCUCCAAAGUCCCAGAAACGAAGAUCUUCUCUUUCUCCAGAUUUCCAAUUCUGUGCGUCAGCAAACAGCUACAAGCUCGUACUGAGUGCUCUGUCUCGGCCUGAAAGCCAGGCCAUAGUCACCUCUGGGACCCAUCUCCCCAUUCUACAUGGUGAGGCUGAGAUGAGGAAACUGAAAAUGAAAAAAGUUUUACAAAGUAACCUGCUCAGAGUUAGCUCUGCUGAGAUGGGGAUAUAGGGCACUUGCCUAGCGUGCAUAAGGACCAGGGUUGAACCCCCAGUACUACAAAAAUCAAAACAAACAAACAAACAAAAAUCAAUCAAAAUCACAGUCCUCACGUCAGAGCUGAACCCCAGUGCAGACCUGUGUGAGAGAUUGGCCAUUAUCCACGCGGCCACAACAUGCAGCUCCAGCAGGAAUCUGUGGCCCGGUUCACCGGACUCAGCGAGAUCUUUCUGUGGGUCAGAGGAAGGCAAAUUGAUUGACAGAAGGCCCAAGACGUUAACGGCGAGUUAGAGCCAAGAAACAGCUAAAUAUGUAUGGCUUCAUGUCUGAGAUUCAAGUGGGGUUGUCACCAUUAAUCACCACUCAACGAUUACUCUGACGUUGGUACUGCUGUUGCUGGAUUUUACUGCGCUGUAUCGGACCUUGGAUUGGGCCCCUCUCUAGGGACAUAAGGCGGCUCCGAGUGCUGACUUCCGCUGCAGACCAUCGCUGUGCCUGCAAAUGCUGGCGGGGCAGCUGCGGCGCCUACAAAGAGCUCACUGAGCAGCUAGCGGGUGGGUGAACGAGCGGCAACUGUAGCUCAUCUGUGCACUUCCUGUGGACUUAACUAAGGCAGACCCAGGCCAGGGAGAUGCCAGUGGGGAGGCUGCCUGGCUCAAGACUGUAAGGGAUGCAAGAGAAGUGCUAGAAGCGGACUGAGCCAGCGCCAGCAGUGAUGGAUGGAGCUGGAGGAUACUGGUGAGCGUGUCACUGGUGGGCAGUCGGGGAUUCUGCCUGCAGCCUGCCCGGCCCCCAGGCGGUGCUCUUGCCCGCGAGUGUGACAGUGGAGCUCGCGGGCCUACUGUUCUUCUGUGUCCUGUCACCUGCUCUCUGUCCUUCCCCUUCUGCUGUCUCUCUCACCAAGGGUAUCGAUCAACCUAGGCUGAAAAUUCUAUUUCUCCGCUGUGUGGCGGCGUCUGGCGCUGUGUCCCCGCUGUGCUUUCUGGACUGUUCUCUUCCCGGUUUCUCCUGAUCCCCGAUUCACAGUUCUCACGUCUCCCUGACUGACUCUCCAAAGUCUCCUCUGGGACAUCGGCAUGAAUUACCUGUUGCUGAGUAACAAAUUACCCCUGACGCUUCGUUACUUACGGCGACGUCGGUUUUCUUGUCAUUUCCGCAGAGUGGAGUAGCACAGCUGGCUCGUUCUGGCGAAGGUGCUCAGAGGACCGUGGUCUUCAUUUAUUCGUUUAUCCUCUUUUGAGGCCCUCUUUCGAGGCCUCCACGCUCCUCACAUGGUGUUGGGGAGGCUGCAGGACGCCCUGCCUGGUCCUCUCCCACGGGCCACUCGGGACACGGCAGCUGGCUCGUCCCAGAGUGAGAUCAGAGAAGGGCAGGCGUGUGCAGCUGAGAGAGAAGCUGCGGCCCAAGCUCAGAGCGAACUUUCACCACUCUGCCCUGCAGCUCCCACACAGUAUGGGACAGGACAGCCAGGGUGUGGCUGGGCAUCUUGGGGCCAUCUCUGACAGUGGCCUUCUUUGUGACCCUCAGAUGCCAGCGUUCUCGGACUCCUGGUCUCCUGUCUCAUCCCUUCCAUCCUGCACUCACGCCCUGGACCCCAUAGAGCCUUUUUCUGCCUUUGGUCUCCACAGUCACACACACCAUCUGCAUCACUGGCCCACCUCCCUCUCGACAAGGCCAGGCUCGAAUGUUGCCCAUUGGCUCCAGGGCAUCCGGAGGGCUCACCUUCAGCACUGAGCCUUUCACCGUGCUCAGGCCAUUCCGUCCCCUCCUGUUUCCACCACUCUGCCCAGGUGCCAAGGGGCAGACUGGAAAAUCUCUCCUGACUGCCCACACCCUUCUGCCUCCGCUAACCAGUGGCCACUGAGUGCUGUCGAGGUUUUGUGUUGGUCUUUAUCUUUUCACAUCUUUUUAUUUUAAAUAUUUCAAACCCAUAGGAAUGUUACAAGAGUAAGAUGAUCUUCUGUUUCCUAGAUGACCUUAAUGUUUUAUAUUCGAUCUCUCCCCUUCCUCUGUCUCUUGUCUGUGUGUGUGUGUAUUUCAUAAUAGCCUUUGUACUCUUACUCUUUCACAGACGUAUCGGUGUGUUUAUGAAGUGUGCUGCACACUGGACGGUGGGUGACACACACUGAGAUUUCAUCUCCAGAGAUUUUGGCAUGCAGAGCCUAGAGUGAGGCCGUCUCCCACUCAGUGGUGGCACAUUAAGACCCUCCAGACCCCCUCGGGGACUUCGCCUCCCCAUGGUGCGCCUCGCACAGCCGCUUCCUUCCGGCCAGCAGCUCCCCCUGUGGUCAUCCUGCCAUUUCCCCGCUGGUCCCCUUUCUGCCCGGCUGCACACCCAGGCCAGAGCAAGCCUCCAAAGUACAAACCCGAGGAGGGUGUCUUGCUGCUCUGGACUGCAACAGCUCCGCACUGCCUCCAAAAUGAGGGGCGAACUUCCUGAGGCGCACAGAUCCUUUGUCGUCCAGCUCCAUCCGGAGCAGAAUCAUCGCCCAGCAGAGAUACACAGUCAGCUAUAGAUGCCAUUUAGGUUUGUCUAGUAGCCGCGGUAUAAAAAGAAAAGUGCUGAGAUUAAUUAAAAAUACAUUUUAUUUAACCUAGUACAUCCAAAAUAUCGCAGCGACACGGUCUCGGGAUAAAAGCACCCAUGAGGUGUCUUCCAUUCUCCCUCUUCCCCAGGGUCUUCAAAAUCUGCCACGGGCAGCACAUUUCAACUCAAGUGCUACAUGUUCUAGGGUUAAAGUAAAACAAAUCUCUAUGGAAAUGCUAAGGUUAGGGUUAACAAGUAAAACCGGAAGUUCCGUUCCUUGCUCACAUUAGCCACACUUGAAAUUCCUGGAGGCUGAAGGUGGGAGCUGCCCCUCGUGGACUGGGACCCGGGGUUCCUGGUGGCUCUGAAGUCUAAGCCGCUCCCACGACACCACGAUGCUGCUUGCCCCCUUCACUUUCUCAAGGGCUCGGUGGUGGGUGGUAGAGGCCAUGUGACCUGAGGUAUCACAGCAGAUUGAGCACACUCAGAGCAGCGGUCUUAAAACCAGAUGCCAGCCCGGCUGGCUGAAGUCUAAAACAGUCACUCUUCUCCUGGAUUGUUUUUCUUUUCCAAAAUAUAAUUUUUUUUCAUUGAAAACAUGUAUUAUGGAAUGGGAUAAUUAUAAAUGCUUGGUUUUAAUUUCAUUUUUCACUUCACUUCCUCCCCCCGCUUUUUUUGGUGGGAGGAGGUGGUGCUGGGGAUUGAACCCAGGACUUUAUGGAUGUUAAUUUAAGCCCAUGCUCUACCACUGAGUUAUACUCUCAGCUGUUUUAAUGUCUGAUGUGGUAAUUAUUGAUAGAUACAGCUCUCAAAAUCAAAAGCUUUCUGGAGACCUCAAUAGUUUUAAUGGUGAAAGUGGGUUUUGGAAAUAGCUGCCUAAUUCUCUAGUCUCCUGGCUCGAGGUUUCCUCUCCUUGCUCAUAUUUUUGGCUUGAACUUCCGGUUCUGGGCAGGAUGGAGCAGACACACUUCUCCCCACUCCUAUCUCUGAGUACAUCUGAAUCCCAGGACCUUACGCAUACAUCAAACAUAAGAAGACAUUGGGGGAAGGGCUAGGGAGAUCGGACUCGAGAAUCAGCACGGCACUGGGGUGCCGCUGUCCCGAUGAGCGGGAGCCAGAACUUGUGCCGCGGCCCAGGAGUAAGGAGGCACCCACUUCCUCCCGCCUCCCACUGCCCACAGAGGCCAACAGCUCAGUGGAGAACCUGGACCCCGGUGCCUACUAAAACAAGAUUUUCGAAAGGUCCUCGUCACGUAAAACUCCAAGCAUCCGGAUACAAAUCGGGAACCAAGGAAGUCUCAGCGGAAAGGGGAGAGACGAUGAGUGAAUGCCAUCGCUCAGACGGUGCAUGGAACCCUCUGAGAAGGACUUUAAAAGAGCUCUGCAAAGCCCCGUGGACCAAUGAUGACAUGCUCGAAACAAAAGAACAAAAAGAAAGCUUUGGCAGAGACAGACGAUAAAGAAGACCGUGCCGUCUUGGCCCUUGAAAGAAUCACUCACAUCUCUGGAAUGACCACCUCCCUUUGUGCUCCUCUUCCUGGACACCCGGCUCUCUUCUCUCUCCAUCUCCUUCCUGGCCGCCCGGGUCAGCCCAGGUGUAUCCUCCACUGGGGCCUCCAGGAUGCCACAGCCUCUGCCUCAGUCUCCACGCCGUGGCGCCUACACCCAGUGCAAAGCGUUCCGUGGUCAGCAUCCUCUAAACACGAAGACCCACAGAGGAACCGUGUCUUAAUCCCGCAUACCUGGCGCAGCAGCACCUGUCCUGUGGUGAUCACUCAACACUGUUGAGGAUAUAAGUGGGUGAAGGAGUGGAAGCUCUCUGUGACUCCCCACUUUCUGUGGCACACAAUGAAUCUGCGAUCUAGCUUUCAGCGCCCCUCUCAGACAGCGGCGCACUGAUCUUCCCGCGCUCAGCUUCCCUUCAUCCUGCUUCUCGGUCACACUGGAGAGCAGACUGUCCUUGGAGAUGCUGUGUCUUGUCUGCGCUCGUCUGCCCUGCAAUGCCCUCACUCACUGUUGGCAGCGAACUCUGCCCACCUUCAGAGACCCAGAGGCCUCCGGCGGAAGGGUCCCUCCCACCUCUGGACACACAGCCCUUCGUGUAGGGUUUUCUUGUGUUUUCACCUGGGCUUGCGUUUGUGGUUAUCUUGGUUGUCGGAAUGUAUUUGUAGCAUUCUCUGCGAGACUUUAAAGUCUGCAGCUCAAACACGAUGCUAUCUCACUCUCCUUGGCACUGCUUCACGCGGUUCCUUGUUUCUCUGUGAGUCGCUGUUCCCUUCUGGAAAGGACAGUACCUGCUUCAUUGGAGUCCUGUGGGUAACAAACUACACUGAACGUCGCUUCAGUUUCUCAGUUUUCGUAAGCACUCAAUCAAUGCUGUGAUUGUCACUGUUACUGUCUUAUCUGAAGGAACGAACAGGCUGACAAGGUUCCGUGAGCCCUGUCUUCGAAAUGUCCUCUGAAUCCUCCCAUUUUCAGCACUGCUGCCUGCUGCUGCUCUGGCCAUUCCGCUGGACUCUGUCCCUAGGCUCUGCCAGCUCUCCUUCCUGGCACCGUCUUCCCCUUUCACCCCUCUUCUCCACUUCGCACCCAGCACAGCACGAUCCUUUCUAGACGCCAAUUAGACUGUGAUACUCUUCUGUUUCUGUGAACGGCCAGUGGGCUCCAGACCCUGUCCCUCUCCCGCUCUCCUCGACGCUGCCCAGUGGCCGUCUCGCCCUCUCUCACACAGUGGCUCGGCAGCUUCAUGGUUUCCUCAGUCCACAGCUUCUGUCAAGGGUGUCUCUGUGGGCCACUGUGGCCUCCUAAAGAGCAGGCCACCCUCCCAUGACCGCUCUGCACGCCUCCGUCCUUAUCUGCAGUGCUGCUUUUCAUCGCUUCAGUUACCUGUGGUUAAUCAUGUCUGAAAAAAUAAGCAGAAAACUGCAGAGAAAAGCAACGCAUGUGCCUUGAAUGGCACCUUUCUGAGGAGCGGACGAAAUCUCUGUCCUGCUGUCCAGCAUCUCCAUGGUUAUCAGCUCAACCCUCCCAGUACCGCAGAGCUGGGGUCUCAGAGUGGACCCCCAGGGCUAAGGGAGACUUCUGUGUUUUAUUCUUUAUAUCUCUUA